GGCAGUGUAGCUUAAUAGGUAGAGCGUUCGCCGUUCAAAGCGGAAGGCAACCGUUCGAUUCGGUUCGCUGCCA
rnacentral:tRNA from 1 species